CCUACGGGAGGCAGCAGUGAGGAAUAUUGGUCAAUGGACGAGAGUCUGAACCAGCCAAGUAGCGUGAAGGAUGACUGCCCUAUGGGUUGUAAACUUCUUUUAUAAAGGGAUAAAACGAGGCACGUGUGCCUUUUUGCGUGUACUUUAUGAAUAAGGAUCGGCUAACUCCGUGCCAGCAGCCGCGGUAAUACGGAGGAUCCGAGCGUUAUCCGGAUUUAUUGGGUUUAAAGGGAGCGUAGAUGGGUUGUUAAGUCAGUUGUGAAAGUUUGCGGCUCAACCGUAAAAGUGCAAUUGAUACUGGCAGUCGUGAGUACAGUUGAGGUAGGCGGAAGGCGUGGUGUAGCGGUGAAAUGCUUAGAUAUCACGAAGAACCCCGAUUGCGAAGGCAGCUUACUAAACUGUGACUGACAUUGAGGCUCGAAAGUGUGGGUAUCAAACAGGAUUAGAUACCCUUGUAGUC
rnacentral:rRNA from 1 species